AUUGAACGCUGGCGGCAGGCCUAACACAUGCAAGUCGAGCGGAUGAAGGGAGCUUGCUCCUGGAUUCAGCGGCGGACGGGUGAGUAAUGUCUAGGAAUCUGCCUGGUAGUGGGGGAUAACGUCCGGAGACGGGCGCUAAUACCGCAUACGUCCUGAGGGAGAAAGUGGGGGAUCUUCGGACCUCACGCUAUCAGAUGAGCCUAGGUCGGAUUAGCUAGUUGGUGGGGUAAAGGCCUACCAAGGCGACGAUCCGUAACUGGUCUGAGAGGAUGAUCAGUCACACUGGAACUGAGACACGGUCCAGACUCCUACGGGAGGCAGCAGUGGGGAAUAUUGGACAAUGGGCGAAAGCCUGAUCCAGCCAUGCCGCGUGUGUGAAGAAGGUCUUCGGAUUGUAAAGCACUUUAAGUUGGGAGGAAGGGCAGUAAGUUAAUACCUUGCUGUUUUGACGUUACCAACAGAAUAAGCACCGGCUAACUUCGUG
rnacentral:rRNA from 1 species